rnacentral:rRNA from 1 species
UGGGGAAUUUUGGACAAUGGGCGAAAGCCUGAUCCAGCAAUGCCGCGUGUGUGAAGAAGGCCUUCGGGUUGUAAAGCACUUUUGUCCGGAAAGAAAUCCUUGGCUCUAAUACAGUCGGGGGAUGACGGUACCGGAAGAAUAAGCACCGGCUAACUACGUGCCAGCAGCCGCGGUAAUACGUAGGGUGCAAGCGUUAAUCGGAAUUACUGGGCGUAAAGCGUGCGCAGGCGGUUUGCUAAGACCGAUGUGAAAUCCCCGGGCUCAACCUGGGAACCGCAUUGGUGACUGGCAGGCUAGAGUAUGGCAGAGGGGGGUAGAAUUCCACGUGUAGCAGUGGAAAUGCGUAGAGAUGUGGAGGGAAUACCGAUGGCGAAGGCAGCCCCCUGGGCCAAUACUGACGCUC